rnacentral:rRNA from 1 species
AUUGAACGCUGGCGGCAGGCCUAACACAUGCAAGUCGAGCGGAUGAAGGGAGCUUGCUCCUGGAUUCAGCGGCGGACGGGUGAGUAAUGCCUAGGAAUCUGCCUGGUAGUGGGGGAUAACGUCCGGAAACGGGCGCUAAUACCGCAUACGUCCUGAGGGAGAAAGUGGGGGAUCUUCGGACCUCACGCUAUCAGACGAGCCUAGGUCGGAUUAGCUAGUUGGGGGGGUAAAGGCCUACCAAGGCGACGAUCCGUAACUGGUCUGAGAGGAUGAUCAGUCACACUGGAACUGAGACACGGUCCAGACUCCUACGGGAGGCAGCAGUGGGGAAUAUUGGACAAUGGGCGAAAGCCUGAUCCAGCCAUGCCGCGUGUGUGAAGAAGGUCUUCGGAUUGUAAAGCACUUUAGGUUGGGAAGAAGGGCAGUAAGUUAAUACCUUGCUGUUUUGACGUUACCAACAGAAUAAGCACCGGCUAACUUCGUG